AACGAACGCUGGCGGCAUGCUUUACACAUGCAAGUCGAACGGUAACAGGCCGCAAGGUGCUGACGAGUGGCGAACGGGUGAGUAAUGCAUCGGAACGUGCCCAGUCGUGGGGGAUAACGCAGCGAAAGCUGCGCUAAUACCGCAUACGAUCUAUGGAUGAAAGCGGGGGACCGUAAGGCCUCGCGCGAUUGGAGCGGCCGAUGUCAGAUUAGGUAGUUGGUGGGGUAAAGGCUCACCAAGCCAACGAUCUGUAGCUGGUCUGAGAGGACGACCAGCCACACUGGGACUGAGACACGGCCCAGACUCCUACGGGAGGCAGCAGUGGGGAAUUUUGGACAAUGGGCGCAAGCCUGAUCCAGCAAUGCCGCGUGCAGGAAGAAGGCCUUCGGGUUGUAAACUGCUUUUGUACGGAACGAAACGGUCCUGGUUAAUACCCGGGGCUAAUGACGGUACCGUAAGAAUAAGCACCGGCUAACUACGUGCCAGCCGCCGCCGUAAAAC
rnacentral:rRNA from 1 species